CAGCCAGCCUUUUACUGGUACAAUUUGCCCUUCUCUCCCCCCAAAACCCUUCCCAGGUCUGACAUUAAUCACCUACAAGCUCGUUUAAAACCCUCUCUAAAUUUAAGAGGAUAAGCACUGCCAGUCUCCUCUUGCUGGCAGGCAGCCAGCUUGCAGCGACUGCUGGAAUUAACGUCCCGGGAUGCACGCAGAAGGGAAAAGAAAAGCAGCCAGGAAGCCUCUCCAUCCUCUCCGUCCAUGAGCAGGAGAGCAAACUGCUCGUGCCAGAAGAGGUCAGAUCAUUUCUCGUCACUGCCCUGGGCUCAGCCCAACAGCAAUUUUGGGCUCCUUCCCGAGGCAGCAGAGCUCAGGGCAGCCAAAACACCCGGGCUGGCUCAGAGCAGCACAAAUGCAAAGGCGGCGGCGACCUUGGAUCUUCAUCCCGCAGCAGAUCUGUACUGCCACAUCUCGCUGCAGUUGGUGAGGCUGAAGCUGGCUGUGCUGUGCCUACCUGUUCUGCAGCCUUUCCUCCAGUUAUUUCUUCCCUCCUCCUUCCACACUGAUCACUCCACACGCCACGUGCUUACCUAGCUCAGCUUGCUCAGGCAUCUUUGCAAGCCCACACUUUAAAAAAAAUAAAAAAAAAAAAUCCCUUUUGCCAGGUCUUCUACAGGAAGUAAUUUAACUCACCAGCAACCUGACGAGGUCCUGCUGCUCUGGUGCUGGCAAAACUCCGGGGCCUACCUCAGACUUCUGGACAGACCUGCAGGUACUGCAGUGCUUAAAGGAAGGUGCUUCCUCCUCAGGCGUUCAGCAAAGUAAGAAAGAGCAUUUGAGUCAACAGGAAACGGUGACGCCAAAGCCUCUGCAGCAGCGGCGGCCGCAUGAGGAAAUCACAUUGCACCAUUUCUGCACUGGGAUCGAGGCGAAUAAAGCCACAGAACAAUUGUUACUGCAAAUAAAGAAACACUGGGAGGAAACACAACGUCCAUGGCAUCAGGUGGGCCCAUUUCGGGGCUGGCCUACAUCUCGAGAUCAGCCCUGACAACUGCAGUGAGAGACAAGCGGUUGUUCAUCUUGUUUGUUUGUUUGUUAAUUUAUUUGUUUGUUAAUUAAUUUGUUUGUUUAAAUGUGAGUUUGCCGUGUCUAUUUGCCUGCUAGCAGGGCAGGGACCCCUAAAAGCACACACUAUGUCCUGAGACCAGUCCAGGUGGUGGUUACCACCCCUACCAAACACAAGCACUCACCAAGCUCCGGUUCAAGCACGGGUUUAGCCCUUUGUCCUCCCCAGCUCCACUAGGAAGCUGUUUUGAGUCCUCAUACCAUUCCUCCUCAGCACCACAGCAGGGGGAAAUCCAGGUUUAACUAAGAGACCAUCCCUUCCCUCCCCAUACCCAAAAAAGGCCAGCGCAAAGGCAAGUUUCUACCCACUUCCAGCUAAGAGUCAGAGCCGAUGCCCAUGUGUAAGCCACAUGAGACCAGUGUCACACCAAAGACCUCUGAAAACAACCAGGGUGAGAGCCUCACCUCCUUUCACACCACGUAAAUGUGGCAGGGCAGCACCAUCACCCCAGUUCAAGAAGUGUGGAGGGAGAAGGAGGGGAAGAGACGUAUUUCCUAUGUGCAGACAGAGAAGAACAUAACGAGGCUGCUGUGCCACGGACAGCAUGGAAGAUGGAAAGGAAUUCUCUCAAGAGAGGUGUUGGUGGAGGAAUUUUACAGAAGCCUCAUCUGUAGCUGACCACUGCUGUCGAAGGCAGCAUCUUGAGAUGAGACUUGGUCCAAUGUGGUUUAGAGAAAUGGUCCAGUUUUUCAAAAAAAUUCGUCUGGCUCUGGAAUUCUGCUAUGCUUGCACUUCAUCCUUUUGGAAGCAAUUCAUGCACACAACUCCUUAGAAAAUCAGCUUUGGGCUUGAUCUGAGUUCACUGAAGCCAAAGGGUUUCCCCAAGAAAACAGUCAUUUUUCACUGUUUUGGCAGUUUAAGCUCUGCAGAGCGGAAAGCAGGCUUGCAAAAUUAUCUCCGUACAGGAACAGCUGUGUCACUGCUACACAGCAAAAGUUUAUUGCUUCCAAAAACGAGUAGCAGGGCUUAGGGAGCUUGCAAGCAAAUUCUUACAAGAUAAUUACAAGAGCUGGCAGGCUCCCUCAGCGCUCCCGAUGUUCCCUUUCUCCCUUUGUGGUCCACAACCCCCACACCAAGCCAUCCGCCCUCGGAUGUCCUGAGACAAGCCACACGUCCAGCUCCGCCAGCAG